GGCCAUUCUUGGGUGACACAACCUGGAAUCGGGCUCUUUCCUCUCUGGUUCUGGGUGCGUCACCUGAGAACUGCA
rfam:Myotis lucifugus cont2.27084, whole genome shotgun sequence.